CUCGCGCCCGUACGGCUGGUGACUCUGGAUAAACCUUUUGCCGAUCGCGCGGUCCCGCACCGGCGACGCGUCUUUCAAAUGUCUGCCUUAUCAACUCGUUGGUAGGUUAUGCGCCUACCACGGUUAUAACGGGUAACGGGGAAUCAGGGUUCGAUUCCGGAGAGGGCGCACGAGAAAUGGCGACCACAUCCAAGGAAGGCAGCAGGCGCGCAACUUACCCAUUUCUGGCCCAGAGAGGUAGUGACGAAGAAUAACGAUACGGGACUCAUCCGAGGCCCCGUAAUCGGAAUGAGAACAGCGCAAACUCUUUAACGAGUACCUACUGGAGGGCAAGUCAGGUGCCAGCAGCCGCGGUAAUUCCUGCUCCAGUAGCGUAUAUUAAAGUUGUUGCGGUUAAAAAGCUCGUAGUCGGACUUGUGUCGGGCCCUGCCGGUUCACAGCCCGUCUGUGUCCAACUGGCACGAGGUCGUCGACGUCCAGCCGGUGGCCCUUCGUUUCGGAACGCCCGCGCGCCUCCGCCCCGUCCGCGGGGAUCGGUUCCGCAGAGCGUGUCCGAGGAGGGCCUGGUCCUAACCCGGCGCGGGUGCUCUUAACCGGGUGCCCCGUCGGGCCGGCAUGUUUACUUUGAACAAAUUAGAGUGCUCAGAGCAGGCUGCAAUACGCCAGAAUAUCGUCUGCAUGGAAUAAUGGAACAGGACCUCGGUUCUAUUUUGUUGGUUUUAGGAAUACCCGAGGUAAUGAUCAAUAGAGACAGACGUGGGCAUUCGUAUUGCGGCGUUAGAGGUGAAAUUCUUGGAUCGUCGCAGGACGAACCGGAGCGAAAGCGUUUGCCAAGAAUGCUUUCCUUGAUCAAGAACGAAAGUUAGACGAUCGAAGGCGAUCAGAUACCGCCCUAGUUCUAACCAUAAACGAUGCCAGCCAGCAAUCGGUCGAAGUUCCUCCGAUGACUCGCCCGGCGGCCCCCGGGAAACCAAAGCUAUUGGGUUCCGGGGGAAGUAUGGUUGCAAAGCUGAAACUUAAAGGAAUUGACGGAAGGGCACAACAAGUCGUGGGGCCUGCGGUUCAAUUUGACUCAACACGGGGAAGCUUACCAGACCAGGACACAAGUAGGAUUGACAGAUUAAGAGCUCUUUCUCGAUUUUGUGGGUUGUGGUGCAUGGCCGUUUCUAGUUGGUGGAUUGAUCUGUCUGCUUAAUUGCGAUAACGAACGAGACUCUAGCCUGCUAACUAGUCGUGAGGUAUCCUCGCGCUACCGACGAUGCAAAAAUCUUCUUAGAGGGACAGGCGGCCUCUAGCCGCACGAGACGGAGCGAAAACAGGUCUGUGAUGCCCUUAGAUGUUCUGGGCGGCACGCGCGCCACACUGGAGGUAUCAAAGUGUCCUCCUUGCCCGAGAGGGCCGGGUAACCCCGACAAAUGCUUUCGUGCUUGGGAUUGGGGUCUGAAAUUAUCCCCAUGAACGAGGAAUGUCUAGUAAACGUGUGUCACCAGCUCACGUUGAUUACGUCCCUGCCCUUUGUACACACCGCCCGUCGCUACUACAGAUUGAACGGUUUAGUGAGGGCUUUGGACCGUCGGGCGCAAAGGUGCUAGCGCACCGGGUCGCCGCUUCGGCGGGAAGAUGUCCGAACUUGACCGUUUAGAUGAAGUAAAAGUCGUAACAAGGUAUUCGUUGGUGAACCAGCGGAUGGAUCAUUA
rnacentral:rRNA from 1 species